AGUAAGAGCUUGCUCUCAUGGGUGGCGAGUGGCGGACGGGUGAGGAAUACAUCGGAAUCUACCUUUUCGUGGGGGAUAACGUAGGGAAACUUACGCUAAUACCGCAUACGACCUUCGGGUGAAAGCAGGGGACCUUCGGGCCUUGCGCGGAUAGAUGAGCCGAUGUCGGAUUAGCUAGUUGGCGGGGUAAAGGCCCACCAAGGCGACGAUCCGUAGCUGGUCUGAGAGGAUGAUCAGCCACACUGGAACUGAGACACGGUCCAGACUCCUACGGGAGGCAGCAGUGGGGAAUAUUGGACAAUGGGCGCAAGCCUGUCCAGCCAUACCGCGUGGGUGAAGAAGGCCUUCGGGUUGUAAAGCCCUUUUGUUGGGAAAGAAAAGCAGUCGAUUAAUACUCGGUUGUUCUGACGGUACCCAAAGAAUAAGCACCGGCUAACUUCGUGCCAGCAGCCGCGGUAAUACGAAGGGUGCAAGCGUUACUCGGAAUUACUGGGCGUAAAGCGUGCGUAGGUGGUUGUUUAAGUCUGUUGUGAAAGCCCUGGGCUCAACCUGGGAAUUGCAGUGGAUACUGGGCGACUAGAGUGUGGUAGAGGGUAGUGGAAUUCCCGGUGUAGCAGUGAAAUGCGUAGAGAUCGGGAGGAACAUCCAUGGCGAAGGCAGCUACCUGGACCAACACUGACACUGAGGCACGAAAGCGUGGGGAGC
rnacentral:rRNA from 1 species